rnacentral:lncRNA from 1 species
CCUGGUGCGAGGCGUGAUCUGGGACCCUCUGCAAGUAUUGGGAAAACCCUGAGGAAGCCAUUCAGAGGGUAGGUGUACCAUCGAGGAGACUCACAGCUGAGAUCGGAGAGAACCAGGAACUCUUCUAUUCCAGCCUGACUAAGAAGUGACCAUGUCUGGUGACUCGGAUUUGGCCCUGCGUUGCCCACUCCUGCUGCAUCUUACCCAGUCGAGGGAUGAAAGGUCUUGGCACCUUCCUGAAGCAUGAGAAGAAAGGAGGUUCUGAAAGCACAGAUCCAAGACCACCAGAGGCCGAAGACACCGAUCCCUGGAGGGGCCACUCACACACCGCCAGGAGCCAAGGAGAGCUGGACCUGGAGGAACAUGGACCCAACAAGGAUGGAAAUACCAGCAAUCCCAAAGGUCAUCUACAUCUGUGCCCAGGGAGCUAUGUGGGGCCCACUGAGUGGAAGAUAAUGCAGCGGCUGCUCUGUCACUUUGCAACUGCAGAAGCUGGAACAAGGGCCCAAGAAGCCAAAGAAGCCACACGAGUCCAGUUCCAAAGCUGUCUGAAUGACCCUGAGAGAACUGCCUACCAAAUUAUGACCAGUUGUGCCAACAGACGUUGA